GGCUCUUGGGUUGUAAACCUCUUUUCUCAGGGAAUAAAAAAAUGAAGGUACCUGAGGAAUAAGCAUCGGCUAACUCCGUGCCAGCAGCCGCGGUAAUACGGAGGAUGCAAGCGUUAUCCGGAAUGAUUGGGCGUAAAGGGUCCGCAGGUGGCAUUGUAAGUCUGCUGUCAAAGAAUGAGGCUCAACCUCAUCAAGGCAGUGGAAACUACAAAGCUAGAGUACGGUCGGGGUAGAAGGAAUUCCUGGUGUAGCGGUGAAAUGCGUAGAGAUCAGGAAGAACACCGGUGGCGAAAGCGUUCUGCUAGACCUGUACUGACACUGAGGGACGAAAGCUAGGGGAGCGAAUGGGAUUAGAUACCCCAGUAGUCCUAGCCGUAAACGAUGGAUACUAGGCGUGGCUUGUAUCGACCCGAGCCGUGCCGGAGCCAACGCGUUAAGUAUCCCGCCUGGGGAGUACGCACGCAAGUGUGAAACUCAAAGGAAUUGACGGGGGCCCGCACAAGCGGUGGAGUAUGUGGUUUAAUUCGAUGCAACGCGAAGAACCUUACCAAGGCUUGACAUGUCGCGAAUCUUCUUGAAAGGGAAGAGUGCCUUCGGAGCGCGAACACAGGUGGUGCAUGGCUGUCGUCAGCUCGUGUCAGGAGAUGUUGGGUUAAGUCCCGCAACGAGCGCAACCCUCGUUUUUAGUUGCCAGCAUUAAGUUGGGCACUCUAGAGAGACUGCCGGUGACAAACCGGAGGAAGGUGGGGAUGACGUCAAGUCAGCAUGCCCCUUACGUCUUGGGCUACACACGUACUACAAUGCUACGGACAGAGGGCAGCUAAACAGCGAUGUCAAGCAAAUCCCGUAAACCGUAGCUCAGUUCAGAUCGCAGGCUGCAACUCGCCUGCGUGAAGGAGGAAUCGCUAGUAAUUGCAGGUCAGCAUACUGCAGUGAAUUCGUUCCCGGGCCUUGUACACACCGCCCGUCACACCAUGGAAGCUGGCAACGCCCGAAGUCAUUACU
rnacentral:rRNA from 1 species